CUUCACCGACCCCAGCAAGAGCGGUCGGUCGGCGUCACGGUCCUGGCCGUAGGUCGCGAUGAGCGCACCCGCCUC
rnacentral:antisense_RNA from 2 species